rnacentral:rRNA from 1 species
UACGGGGGGAGCAAGCGUUGUUCGGAUUUACUGGGCGUAAAGGGCGCGUAGGCGGCGCCGCAAGUCGGUUGUGAAAUCUCUGGGCUUAACCCAGAAAGGUCAACCGAUACUGCGGGGCUAGAGUGCAGAAGGGGCAACUGGAAUUCUCGGUGUAGCGGUGAAAUGCGUAGAUAUCGAGAGGAACACCAGUGGCGAAGGCGACUUACUGGACAUCUGUUGACGCUGAGGUGCGAAAGCGUGGGGAGCAAACAGG